CAAUAGCGUAUAUUAAAGUUGUUGCAGUUAAAAAGCUCGUAGUUGAAUUUUUGCUUGCCGCCGAUGUCGGAACUUCCGUACGUUCGGCGGCGUGCAUCCUUGGGUGGAACCUGUGUGGCAUUAGGUUGUCGUGCGGGGGAUGCUCAUCGUUUACUGUGAAAAAAUUAGAGUGUUCAAAGCAGGCUUACGCCGUUGAAUAUAUUAGCAUGGAAUAAUAAGAUAGGACCUUGGUACUAUUUUGUUGGUUUGCGCACCGAGGUAAUGAUUAACAGGGACAGUUGGGGGUAUUCGUAUUCCAUUGUCAGAGGUGAAAUUCUUGGAUUUCUGGAAGACGAACUACUGCGAAAGCAUUUACCAAGGAUGUUUUCAUUAA
rnacentral:rRNA from 1 species